GCCCGGAUGGUGGAAUGGUAGACACAGCGGACUUAAAAUCCGCUGGGGCCUAAGGCUCCGUGUCGGUUCAAGUCCGACUCCGGGCA
rnacentral:tRNA from 1 species